rnacentral:tmRNA from 1 species
GGGGAUGCUAGGCAUCGACGAAUGAUCCGUGUCUCAGUGUGCAGUACCGAAGUUGAAUUCAUCUUCGUAAAAAUGAAUUCACUUGUAUGUGCAAAGAAAAACAUACUAAGUCCGUAUGCUAAGUCAUUCGGAUUUGCACCCGCAUUUGCGUAAAUCACGCUUGCCGAUGCAACGCUCCUAAUACCGAAGUUACAUAAGUAUUAGUGAGUGAAAUAAACAUGUAGCUCGGUUGAUUACCUGUUUCAGUAAUCGACUUAAAUUCUUGAAAAUCGAACAAAUUGUGUUUUGUCACUUCUUCUAACAAUUUGUUUUAAACUUAAGGAGUGACUAUGUACUGUAGAAGCACCGUGGCCGCUCAUUGCGGACGGGGGUUCAACUCCCCCCAUCUCCACUA